UGGCUUGGAGAGGAAAGCGGAAAGAAGAAUGAUUACCAGGAGAAAUCAGUGGCUCAGCAUUGCCCACUUCUUACUUACAGGUGAUUUUGGAGAAUAAUUUACUGGGGUAAACUGUAUAUCAGCUGAAAAUCAAAAGAAUAUCGGUGGCAGAACCCUGAAAUCAGGAAGGUGUUUCAAGAUACAGCAGAAGCAAGAAAAGAAAAAACUGACCUAACCCUUCUCAAGGUAGUACGCCAGUAUUUAUAUUGGCGUCUAACAACCUUUCUAGUAUUUCCGGAAAGGUUAAUAACAGAAACACGAAAAAGAGAAAAUACAUCUAAAAAUAGAGUAGAAAAGAAAAAUAAACGAAAAUCCUGAUAUGGAAGACUUGUUCUGCGUAACACUCCCCCUCAAGCUGAUGUGUGGAUAUCAUUCAUUCCCAGCUUGCUCCUUUGUUUGCAGAACUUUGUUGCAGAAAUGCCCUUUGUUAAUAUAUCAGCCAAUUGACUUGUAGAUGAGACAUAUUCUGUGCAAAACAUUUUUAAUUCAAGUUUCUCUUUAAUAAAAUGUCUGUCUACUUCAACAUGUUUGGUCUUGUUAUGCUGAACAGGGUCAUGUGCAAUACUUAUUGCAGACUGAUUGUCACAGUACAAAGUAAUUGAACCUUCCAUUAGUAUUUGUAAGUCAUUUAGUAUACUCUUUAUCCAAAUGCCUUCACAAAUCCCAAGAGUCAUAGCCCUAAAUUCCACUUUGGUACUUGAACGAGCUACAACUUUCUAUUUUUGACUUCGCCAAGUAACCAAAUUUUCUCCAAUGAGACAACAAUACCCAGUAGUAGAGUGCCUAUCAUCAACUGAACCAACAUAAUCAGCAUCAACAUAGAUGCCUACUGUAAAAGAAUCUUCUCUUUUAAAUAGGAUUCCCAUGCCAAUUGUUCCUUUAAGAUAGGCUAAGACUCGUUGAGCAACUUGAUGAUACACUUCCCUAGGGUUAUGUAUAUAUUGACUUAGCACUCCAACUGAGUAAGCAAUAUCUGGUCUCGUAUGGGAUAUAGAUAAAUUAAUUUUCCCACUAGCCGUUGAUAAAACCCCUUGUCUACUUGAUCACUCUCCUUUGAAGCCUCAAUACAGUGCUUCGCUUCAAUUGGUGUACUUGCUAGUUUACAAUUACUCAUGCCUAUAUGUUUGAGUAAAUCUGUAAUAUAUUUUCUUUGAGAUAGGAAUAAAUUUCCACGAGAGUAGGCUACCUCAAUUCUCAAGAAGUAUUUUAGUUGCCCCAACACUUUGAAAUCAAAAACAGCUGUCAAUUGUUUUUGAAGAGAAGUGAUUUCUUGCAUAUCAUCUCCAGUGACAAUCAUGUCAUCAACAUAUACUAAUAAGAUUAUUAUUUUUCCUAAGCUCGAUCGUUUAUAAAAUCAGGUAUGAUCUCCAUUGGCUUGUUUGAACCCCAAUGCUCGCAUUGUUUUGGUUAAGCGGUCAAACCAAGCUCUUGGUGACUGUUUUAAUCCAUAUAAUGCCUUCUUAAGUUUGCAUACUUUUAGAAUAUCAAUUGAGUCUUUGUACCCUAGUAGAAGAUCCAUAUAUAUUUCUUCUGAGAUUUCUCCAUGCAAAAAUACAUUUUUCACAUCAAAUUGUAAUAAAGACCAUCCAUAAUGCACAGCUAAUGAUAUUAAUAUCCAAACUGUUCUCAUCUUUGCAACUAGGGCAAAAGUUUCCAUAUAAUCAAUACCAUAACAUUGGGUGAAGUCUUUUGCCACCAACCAAGCUUUAAAACACUUGCCAAUCCCAUCAUAUUUAUACUUAAUGGUAUAUACCCAUUUACAGCCCACUUUCUUCCCUUUAGGAAGUAACAUGAGUUCCCAAGUUUGAUUUUUUUGUAAAGCUAACAUCUCAUCAUUCAUUGCCUUUUUCCAUAGGGGGCUUCUUAAAGCUUCAUUAAUAUUUUGAGGGAUAUCAUGUUUAUCAAUAGCUAAUAGAAAUGACUUGUAUUGUGGAGAUAGACGAUGAUAUGAUACAUAAUUACAUGAUGGAUAUACCUUCCUCUUUGUACAUUCUCUAGUUCCUUUGCGAAGAGCAAUAGGGCAUAUUUCAUCUCCUUGAGCAAUAGGAAGGUUCUAUUGAUCCUGUUCAUGGGCAUUUGCUACAUCAAGUAAAUCAUGUUCAUAUUGUUAGUCAAUCAAUGAUCUGUCACAUUCAAUAAUAGAAUCAUGGGCAUCUACUACAUCAAAUAGAGUCUGUUCAUGGGUGUCUACUGCAUCAACCAAAACCUGUUCAUGGAUUUCAUGGGCAUCUACUGCAUCAGGUAGAUCAUGUUCAUGGUUCUUUCUAGUUAUCUUUGACUUUCUUUGAUAAUAAUUUCAACUAAAUCAAUUGGGAGGUGCAGGUGGAGGUGCUGAUAUUGUUUUAGGAUCUUCAUUCUCCUUGAGAAUCUCAAUAUGUGGUGGAGGUGUUGAUAUUAUUUCAGGAGCUUUAUUUUCCUUGAGAAUCUCAAUAUGUAAAUCAUGUUUUUCUGGCAUAGGAAUACCACAACUAGAUUCUUGAGUUGUUGUCUACUAGAAAUACAUACUAUUUUCAUCAAAUGUGACAUUAAUCAUCACAAUAAUUUUUCUAAAUCUUGGGUCAUAAAAUUUAUACCCUUUUUGUGUAUUAGAAUAGCCCACAAAAAUGGCCUUUAUGGCUCUUGGAGCAAACUUAGAUAGUCCAUUCUGAGAUUGGUAGAUGUAUGUAAUACUCCCAAAUACUCGAAGAGGUAAAUCUAGUCCAUAUUGCACAAUUGGAUAAUGACCUUGUAGUAAGGCUUUGGGGGUCUUAAAUAAUAGCGCUUAUGAUGGGAGAUGAUUAACAAGAUGAGUGGCAAUUAGUACUGCCUCACUCCAUAAGUAUAUCGGUACUUGGGCUUUAAACAUAAUAGCCCUUGUUAUUUCUAGUAGUUGCCCAAUCUUUCUUUCCACUACCCCAUUUUACUGGGGUGUAUAUGGGCAAGAAGAUUCAUGAACAAUACCCUCUUCAGCAAAGAAAUUGGAGACAAUAGAAUUGAAGAAAUCUUUAGCAUUAUCUCAUCGAAAUCUCUUAGGGGUUAUAUUGAACUGAUUUUGAAUUAGCUUGAUAAACCUUGGAAUAACACUAUUGGCUUCUGAUUUUGUUUUUCAUUAGGUAAAUUCAUGUGAACCUAGUAUAAUCAUCUACAAAGAUGAUAAACCAUCUGAAGUCCCUAACACAACUAGAUGAAGAAGGACCCCAUAUAUUAGAAUGUAUUCUAUAAAAAGGAGAUUCACUUUUAUUUCCAAAGGAGGGAAAUGAAAUACGUCGCUAUUUAGCCAUUUGACAGGGUUCACAUACGAAAGUAGAUUCAUCAAUUGCACAACAUAAUCUUGGAAACAGGUAUCAAAGUACUUUUAUGGACGGAUGUCCUAAACGACAAUGCAACAACAACAAUUUGUUCAAGGGAGAAGCAGACACAAAAGUUGAAAUAUUUGGACUAGAAUUCAUCAACAAUGUCUUGUCCAUAUGCCCUGUGUAGUAGAGUCCAUCCUGUGCUCUAACAUGCCCAAUCCUCUUGCCCAAGGUCUUGUCAUAGAAGAAACAUAAAUUAUUGUCAAAUAAUAUUAGACAAUUCAAGUCUUUGCCCAAUUUUCUCAAUGACAAUAGAUGUGUAUUCAAUCUUGGUAUAUAAAGAACAUAUCUUAAUAACCCCAAUUUCUCAAGAUGAAUUGAUCUAAUGCCAACUACAGGUAAUAAAUCUCUACUUACAAUAAUAACCUUUCAAUUAUUGGUACAUACCUCAUAUGUUAUAAAUAGUGAUGCGUAUGGUGUCAUAUGAUCAAUAGCUCCAAAAUCAAUAAACCAAGAUACUUUCAAGGGUGAAGGUGAUGCUAAUGAUGAUGUAUUUAAGCAUAAUGGAAAACAUUUAGGAAAAUACUUACUAGCAUGUGUGAGGGAAGUGGACGUGAUCAUGCUCCUCAGCUGUUCAAUUUCUUCUCUAAGUUUUCCAAUCUUUGAAGGCUGAGAGGAAGUUGAUCCAUCUUGACUAAUUCCUCCUUGUAUCAUUGGGAUAACACCAUCUUCAUUUUGAGCAUUAGCCAAAUGCAACUUACCAUAGCUCAGUGGUUUACCAUGGAUCUUCCAACAUGUUUCCCUAGUAUGACGAUUUUUCUGACAAUACGUGCAGAAUAGGUGUGCCUUUGGAUCAAUCGUGGGAUCUCCUUUGAUGAAUGGUACUUUACCAUUCCCUUUUUUAAAUCCAAAGUUAUCUUUACUCUUGAGAGCACUGAACACAACAUUUUCUGUAUUUAAAUCAUUUCUCAAACUUCUAGUAUUUUCUUCUUGUCUGACUAAUGCAAUUGCUUCUUCAAUAUCUGGUACUACUUCUCGAGCAAGGAUCUGAUUUACUAGAGUCUCAUACUCUAGAUUUAGUCCCAUCAGAAACUAAUACAACUUGUCUUUCAUGAUGUAAUUUCUUUCUUUAGCAUUAGGGUUCUUGAUUGGUCUGCAGUGGUCGAUUUCUCUCCAUAUGGAUUAUUCACAAACAUAUUCCAGAAUAGUCAAUGUUCCUUGUACCAAAGUUAGAGAUUUCUGUACCAAUCUAUAAAUUUGGGAUUCGACAUGUUUAGUAGAGUGAACAUGAUGAACUUUGUCUCACAAUUCCUUCAUAGAUGUCAGAAAAAGAAAUCUAUCACUUAUCUUUGAUGAAAUAUUGUCUAACAUCCAAUAUUGAAUAAGUGCUUCUUCUUCUUUCCACUGAGAAUAUCUUGGGUUGUCAAUACUUGGCGAGGAUUGCGUCAAGUAAUGAUCCAGAUUUCGCCCACGUAGAAUAAGUUCCACAUAUGAUGCCCAUUCCAACAAAUUGAUUCCAUCAAAUCAGAAUCUCUCAGCAAUUUUAGGUAGGUCUGAACAUACCUUAAUUACUUUGAAUGAUUGUCUUGGGCCAGAGGAGGAAGGUUCACUGGCCUUUGUCUCCAUGUUCUAUAAUAACCAAAGAAAAAAAUCUCAAAUAGAGAUUCCCUGAUGUGGUACAAAUAACAGUUUCUAUUCAAGAAACUAAGAAUGAUUGCCACCCUCAAGAAACGAGAAUGGUGUACUCGCAGACGUCUGCCACUGUCAGAAAAAUGACAAUGUUGUAUUUGCAGUUGUCUUGCCACCUUCAAAAAACGAUGAUAGAGUAUGACUCUCCAAGGAAUCCGCUGGUCUACUUACGACCAAGAGACCUCACGUUUCAGGUACUGCAGACAGAAAGAAAAUCACCUGGUGAUACUGCCUUCACAUAGGUUAGUUGAUCUUCUGUCGACAGUCUUCUUGCAGGAUCAGAGAGAAAGAAGCUCUGAUACCAUGUUUCAAGAUACAACAGAAGCAAGAAAAGAAAAAACUGACCUAACCCUUCUCAGGGCAAUACGCCAGUAUUUAUAUUGGCAUCUAACAACCUUUCCAGUAUUUCUGGAAAGGUUAAUAACAGAAACACGAAAAAGAGAAAAUACAUCUAAAAAUAGAGUAGAAAAGAAAAAUAAACGAAAAUCCUGAUAUGGAAG
rnacentral:lncRNA from 1 species